UGUAGUCUGCAACCCGACUACAUGAAGCCGGAAUCGCUAGUAAUCGCGGAUCAGAAUGCCGCGGUGAAUACGUUCCCGGGCCUUGUACACACCGCCCGUCACACCAUGGGAGCCGGUAAUACCCGAAGCCAGUAGUCUAACCGCAAGGGGGACGCUGUCGAAGGUAGGAUUGGCGACUGGGGUGAAGUCGUAACAAGGUAGC
rnacentral:rRNA from 1 species